rnacentral:rRNA from 1 species
ACACCGGCGGCCCGAGUGGUGAUCGUGAUUAUUGGGUCUAAAGGGUCUGUAGCCGGCCAAGUAAGUCCCUUGGGAAAUCUGGCAGCUUAACUGUCAGGCUGCUAGGGGAUACUGCUAGGCUUGGGACCGGGAGAGGUGAGAGGUACCUUGGGGGUAGGGGUGAAAUCUUGUGAUCCUCGGGGGACCACCAGUGGCGAAGGCGUCUCACCAGAACGGGUCCGACGGUAAGGGACGAAAGCUAGGGGCACGAACCGGAUUAGAUACCCGGGUAGUCCUAGCCGUAAACGAUGCUCGCUAGGUGUCAGUCACGGUGCGACCGUGAUUGGUGCCGUAGGGAAGCCGUGAAGCGAGCCACCUGGGAAGUAUGGCCGCAAGGCUGAA